rnacentral:sRNA from 1 species
AGUUUCACCGGUAACGUCUUAUUCUUAACUUUGGCUUUUCUUAUGCUCGCAGCCUUUUAUACCCCUCUUCUCAGUGAAUCCCGCCAGACGCUCAUUUUCCACGAAACACCAUUUUCCUGAGCCAUUUUCAAUUUUCAUUCCUUUUUCUUUUCAACUGUCAAUAGCCAUUUUUUAUUCUAUUGUGAAUUCUCAUUUCAGCUCACCCCGGAGUAGUAGUAGGUUCCCACCUACUCAGCAAUCAUAGGGCUGCCUAGUCACUUCUUAGCCUGAGUCACCCUGUCAUUCACUACCUUUAUAAUACUCUUUAACUCAACCCUGUUCGAGCCUAAUUUCGUACGUAGCGAACCCUAUCAAACCAUUUCCGGCAUUUUGAUCCCAUCGCCACCCAGACUACACACCCCGCAGAAAUUACAAGCAAAUUGAAAUCUCGAAGCAUCCUCACCAUCCUCACUAAAAACCCAAGAAAACUGAGCAAAUCCAUUUGAGGACCAAUUAUGGGAUGCACUACCAACAGAAUUGGGAUAAUUUCUGCGGUGGUUGUGGACAGGUUUUGCCAAAAAACCCGGCCCCAUAUAUUUGUUGCCUUUUUGCGCCGAAUGUGAACGGCCUGCAACACAGUCUUUCAUUGGGCAUACUAUUUUUAUUUCACAAAGAAUGUUCGAUGCAUUUUCAUAUUGUUCUAUUCCUUGGAUACAAUGACAGCGGCAAAUCACAAACAUUUGUUUUGUAAUAAAAGAUAAGUGAACAACAAAAUCACACGGAAUUCACGAUCGUCAUUUUCACCCAACUACAAAUAAAUAGUUUUUUAAACAACAUUUCAUAAACAAAUACUAAAUCUUUAGAUAACUUGUUGAGUUGAUGUGGUAAUAAACGUGAAUGAAUUUGUUGGCAGAUUACAAAGUAGUGCUCAAUAGCCAAUACGUAAAUACCUAUAGUAUUUCCAAAUAGCUGUCAUAAAUAAAAUGAAACAAAUAGAAAAAUUA